rnacentral:rRNA from 1 species
AUAGGGGAGCCGUAGGGAAACCGAGUCUUAACUGGGCGAAUGAGUUGCAGGGUAUAGACCCGAAACCCGGUGAUCUAUCCAUGGGCAGGUUGAAGGUUGGGUAACACUAACUGGAGGACCGAACCGACUAAUGUUGAAAAAUUAGCGGAUGACUUGUGGAUGGGGGUGAAAGGCCAAUCAAACCGGGAGAUAGCUGGUUCUCCCCGAAAGCUAUUUAGGUAGCGCCUCGUGAACUCAUCUUCGGGGGUAGAGCACUGUUUCGACUAGGGGGUCAUCCCGACUUACCAACUCGAUGCAAACUGCGAAUACCGAAGAAUGUUAUCACGGGAGACACACGGCGGGUGCUAACGUCCGUCGUGAAGAGGGAAACAACCCAGACCGCCAGCUAAGGUCCCAAAGUCAUGGUUAAGUGGGAAACGAAGUGGGAAGGCUCAGACAGCCAGGAUGUUGGCUUAGAAGCAGCCAUCAUUUAAAGAAAGCGUAAUAGCUCACUGGUCGAGUCGGCCCGCGCGGAAGAUGUAACGGGGCUAAACCAUGCACCGAAGCUGCGGCAGCGACACAUAGUGUUGUUGGGUAGGGGAGCGUUCUGUAAGCCUGCGAAGGUGUACUGUGAGGUAUGCUGGAGGUAUCAGAAGUGCGAAUGCUGACAUAAGUAACGAUAAUGCGGGUGAAAAACCCGCACGCCGGAAGACCAAGGGUUCCUGUCCAACGUUAAUCGGGGCAGGGUGAGUCGACCCCUAAGGCGAGGCUGAAAAGCGUAGUCGAUGGGAAACGGGUUAAUAUUCCCGUACUGGUGGUAACUGCGAUGGGGGAACGGAGAAGGCUAGGUUGUCCGGGCGACGGUCGUCCCGGUUCAAGCAGGUAGGCAGAGUGAUUAGGCAAAUCCGGUCACUUAAUGCUGAGAUGUGAUGACGAACCACCAAGGUGGUGAAGCAAUUGAUGCCCCGCUUCCAGGAAAAGCCUCUAAGCUUCAGGUUACCAACAAUCGUACCCCAAACCGACACAGGUGGUCAGGUAGAGAAUACUCAGGCGCUUGAGAGAACUCGGGUGAAGGAACUAGGCAAAAUGGUGCCGUAACUUCGGGAGAAGGCACGCUGGCGGUAGGUAAAGUCCCUCGCGGACGGCGCUGAAGCCAGUCGAAGAUACCAGCUGGCUGCAACUGUUUAUUAAAAACACAGCACUGUGCAAACACGAAAGUGGACGUAUACGGUGUGACGCCUGCCCGGUGCUGGAAGGUUAAUUGAUGGGGUUAGCGCAAGCGAAGCUCCUGAUCGAAGCCCCAGUAAACGGCGGCCGUAACUAUAACGGUCCUAAGGUAGCGAAAUUCCUUGUCGGGUAAGUUCCGACCUGCACGAAUGGCGUAAUGAUGGCCAGGCUGUCUCCACCCGAGACUCAGUGAAAUUGAACUCGCUGUGAAGAUGCAGUGUACCCGCGGCAAGACGGAAAGACCCCGUGAACCUUUACUAUAGCUUGACACUGAACAUUGAGCCUUGAUGUGUAGGAUAGGUGGGAGGCUUUGAAGUGUGGACGCCAGUCUGCAUGGAGCCAACCUUGAAAUACCACCCUUUAACGUUUGAUGUUCUAACCUAGGCCCAUAAACUGGGUCGGGGACCGUGUCUGGUGGGUAGUUUGACUGGGGCGGUCUCCUCCUAAAGAGUAACGGAGGAGCACGAAGGUUGGCUAAGCAUGGUCGGACAUCAUGCGGUUAGUGCAAAGGCAUAAGCCAGCUUGACUGCGAGAGUGACGGCUCGAGCAGGUACGAAAGUAGGUCUUAGUGAUCCGGUGGUUCUGAAUGGAAGGGCCAUCGCUCAACGGAUAAAAGGUACUCCGGGGAUAACAGGCUGAUACCGCCCAAGAGUUCAUAUCGACGGCGGUGUUUGGCACCUCGAUGUCGGCUCAUCACAUCCUGGGGCUGAAGUAGGUCCCAAGGGUAUGGCUGUUCGCCAUUUAAAGUGGUACGCGAGCUGGGUUUAGAACGUCGUGAGACAGUUCGGUCCCUAUCUGCCGUGGGCGUUGGAAGAUUGAGAGGGGUUGCUCCUAGUACGAGAGGACCGGAGUGAACGCACCACUGGUGUUCGGGUUGUCAUGCCAAUGGCAUUGCCCGGUAGCUAAGUGCGGAAGAGAUAACCGCUGAAAGCAUCUAAGCGGGAAACUUGCCUCGAGAUGAGUCUUCCCUGUCGCUUUAAGCGACCUAAAGGAACGUUUAAGACUAAGACGUUGAUAGGCUGGGUGUGUAAGCGUAGCGAUACGUUGAGCUAACCAGUACUAAUGAACCGUGAGGCUUAACCUG